UUCCAAGGAUGGAGAAACAUUCCAAGCUUAUAUAUUAGUUCAUCAGCAAGGAAUUAGAAGGUUUUCUAUUUCUUCAUCUUCUUCAAGUUUUUUAAAGAUUUUUUCCCCUAACUUUUGCUUAUUUUUUUCAUGUACUACUAAAUUUAAGAAAAACGAUUUAUAAUUUGGAUUUGUUGUGUCAAAUUUUUGGAUUAUUUUGUUCAUGCUUGUAUUAGUCCAAUUGGAUACAGAUUAGCCAAGAGCAAGCAGGUGAUCAACAUACUUGCUUGAGGACCAUAGGAGGUAGAUUAUUGUUGUGGUUCUUAAGGUUUGUUCUUAUACAAUAAUCCAUGAAUAUUGCGGUUUUUUUUUUUUUUUGGGCUUAUGGAGCAUUGCAGGUAAGAACCAAGAGAGAGAGAGAGAUUUUGUAGUUUAGCAUAAAAUAUUUUUUAGGUGAUCUAAUAAUGUAUUGGGCACGUUUCUUGUUGCUCUUAUGGAAGUUGUUGUAAGUUUGCCUCUUUUUUUUUUGUCAAAGCUGUAAUUCCUUGCUCCUAUGCAUUGUAAGUAUUUUUUUUAUUGAGUUAUUUUGUUACCACAACACUAUUUUGGUUUCUCUGUUCACUUUAGCCCUUUUUGAGUUGGCGUCACCUUCACAAGUUUAAUCAAAGAAGAAUCUCACUACAGAUCUAGAUGGAAAGAGAAACAUAGAAGGUGAAAUAUGUCAAGUUAUCAUCUGUACUCCUUAGAUAGUCAUAGUUACUUCUCUUUGGAUCUUAGUUAUAGAAUAAGAAUUAUUUUAAGAGAACCACAUUGAGCUUCAAUUGACACAUAUCCUUGUAAAGAACUUUUUAUGCAGUUUGUUAUGGAUUCUCUUGAAACUGAGUCUGCAGAUGGUAUUGAAAGUUCAAGAUAGGUAAUUGCACUUUUUCCUUUGAGUUCCUGAAUAUGCUAAACCGAUAUUAGAUUUUUAUAAUAUGUGGAUUUCUAUAAUAUAUAAUAUUUCAUUCCUCUAUUGUGCUCACACACAGAGAGGCAAAGAGGAACAUAGGAGAGGAGAUGUCUCGAAUACUAACAUGUAGUCCAUUAUCUAUCAUUUAGGUAAUUCCCUCUAAUUCAAGGCUAGUGGUUUAGGAAUUAGGAUAUCGAUUUUCGUAGUAUGAUCAAAUUAUGGAGAAUCUUUGCUCUCUGCUACGUGUAUUUAUGACAUUAGUCAUGAUGAGUUCAAAGUUCAAACACUUACCAGGAAAAAUCCAAUUUGUAGGUUGCUCUGCUUGUUUAGUUAGACAUGAGUUUAUCCUUUUCUUCAUUUGAUUCUUAAUUUGAAAAGUCCAUUACUAUAUUUAUGCCUUCGUUCGUAAAUGAAUUUU
rnacentral:lncRNA from 1 species